rnacentral:rRNA from 1 species
UGGGGAAUUGUUCGCAAUGGGCGCAAGCCUGACGACGCAACGCCGCGUGGAGGAUGAAGGUCUUCGGAUUGUAAACUCCUGUUGCCCGGGACGAAAAGCUUCGACCUAACACGUCGAAGUCUGACGGUACCGGGUGAGGAAGCCCCGGCUAACUCUGUGCCAGCAGCCGCGGUAAUACAGAGGGGGCAAGCGUUGUUCGGAAUUACUGGGCGUAAAGGGCGCGUAGGCGGCCUGUUAAGUCGAACGUGAAAUCCCCGGGCUCAACCCGGGAACUGCGUCCGAUACUGGCAGGCUUGAAUCCGGGAGAGGGAUGUGGAAUUCCAGGUGUAGCGGUGAAAUGCGUAGAUAUCUGGAGGAACACCGGUGGCGAAGGCGGCAUCCUGGACCGGUAUUGACGCUGAGGCGCGAAAGCCAGGGGAGCAAACGGG